UGGGCUCAACCUGGGAAUUGCAGUGGAUACUGGAUCACUAGAGUGUGGUAGAGGAUAGUGGAAUUUCCGGUGUAGCAGUGAAAUGCGUAGAGAUCGGAAGGAACAUCUGUGGCGAAGGCGACUAUCUGGGCCAACACUGACACUGAGGCACGAAAGCGUGGGGAGCAAACAGGAUUAGAUACCCUGGUAGUCCACGCCCUAAACGAUGCGAACUGGAUGUUGGGUUCAACUUGGAACCCAGUAUCGAAGCUAACGCGUUAAGUUCGCCGCCUGGGGAGUACGGUCGCAAGACUGAAACUCAAAGGAAUUGACGG
rnacentral:rRNA from 1 species